CCUACGGGAGGCAGCAGUGGGGAAUAUUGGACAAUGGGCGCAAGCCUGAUCCAGCCAUGCCGCGUGAGUGAUGAAGGCCCUAGGGUUGUAAAGCUCUUUUGUGCGGGAAGAUAAUGACUGUACCGCAAGAAUAAGCCCCGGCUAACUUCGUGCCAGCAGCCGCGGUAAUACGAAGGGGGCUAGCGUUGCUCGGAAUCACUGGGCGUAAAGCGCACGUAGGCGGACUCUUAAGUCGGUGGUGAAAUCCUGGAGCUCAACUCCAGAACUGCCUUCGAUACUGGGAGUCUCGAGUUCGGGAGAGGUGAGUGGAACUGCGAGUGUAGAGGUGAAAUUCGUAGAUAUUCGCAAGAACACCAGUGGCGAAGGCGGCUCACUGGCCCGAUACUGACGCUGAGGUGCGAAAGCGUGGGGAGCAAACAGGAUUAGAUACCCUUGUAGUC
rnacentral:rRNA from 1 species